rnacentral:rRNA from 1 species
AAUGAACGCUGGCGGCGCGCCUAAUACAUGCAAGUCGAGCGAGAAGACGUAGCAAUACGUUUGUAAAGCGGCGAACGGGUGAGGAAUACAUGGGUAACCUACCCUCGAGUGGGGAAUAACUAGCCGAAAGGUUAGCUAAUACCGCGUACGCUUCUUGGACUUCGGUUCAGGGAGGAAAGCGAUACCGUGGGUAUCGCGCUCUUGGAUGGGCUCAUGUCCUAUCAGCUUGUUGGUGAGGUAACGGCUCACCAAGGCUUCGACGGGUAGCUGGUCUGAGAGGACGAUCAGCCACACUGGCACUGCGACACGGGCCAGACUCCUACGGGAGGCAGCAGUAAGGAAUAUUGCGCAAUGGGCGAAAGCCUGACGCAGCGACCGCCGCGGUGGGGGA